UCGGUGACCAAAGCCUGGCAGUGCCGGGACGCACUUUACUUUCAUAACCUGCCGGGAGGAGCCCCUUCCAGCGCUUCCCCGGAGGGGGACAAACCGGAAAAAAAAAAAAAAAUUAAAAGAAAUUAACUUCCUCGUCGCGUUGCAAAAUGGCAUUCAUAGGGUUUCGGGGCAAGAGCCGUCUCUGGUUUUUACCAUUCGUUCACCCAGACACCGCGGAAGCGGGGACCCCUCCGGGCGAGCGGGAGCAGCCCGAAGAACUCGCCGGUCAACCCCCCUUCAGCUGCGAGCCCGCCACUUGAACCGGGAUUCCCCUUGCCUCCGGUGAAUCGUCGAUGUUAUUAAUUAAACCCCACGAAAGCUAAGGCCCAAACUGGGAUUAGAUACCCCACUAUGCUUAGCCCUAAAUCCUGAUGUUUACCCUACCAAAACAUCCGCCCGAGAACUACGAGCACAAACGCUUAAAACUCUAAGGACUUGGCGGUGCCCCAAACCCACCUAGAGGAGCCUGUUCUAUAAUCGAUAACCCACGAUACACCCGACCACUUCUUGCUAAGGCAGCCUACAUACCGCCGUCGCCAGCUCACCUUGCUUGAAGGUACAACAGUGAGCACAAUAGCCCUUUAAUCCGCUAGCAAGACAGGUCAAGGUAUAGCCUAUGGAGUGGAAGAAAUGGGCUACAUUUUCUAGUAUAGAAAACUUACGGAAGAGGGUGUGAAACCUCCCUCAGAAGGCGGAUUUAGCAGUAAAGUGAGACAAUAAAGCCCACUUUAAAUUGGCCCUAGGGCACGUACAUACCGCCCGUCACCCUCCUCGCAAGCUAUAACCCCCAAUAACUCAAUAUGUCGCCCAAGCUAAAGAUGAGGUAAGUCGUAACAAGGUAAGUGUACCGGAAGGUGCACUUAGCAUAUCAAGACG
rnacentral:ncRNA from 1 species